CUUGCCUCUUUUUUUAUUAACACACUUGUGAAAGAGCCUCCCUUUCUGGAACUUAACCCUAAGCGUGGAUCGUUUGUGAGGCGAAAGGAAUUAAAAACCCGGUCAUCCCACGCAUGAUUAAUCAAGGAUUGCUGUUGGGUGUUUCUUCUUUCAGGCCGGCUGACCUUAUCCUACUCUCUUGGUCUGGACAGUCGACCGCAAAACCUCAAUAAAAUGAAUUGAGGCGGCACCCCGAGAAGUGUAGCAUAUGGUUAAAUUUGAAACACAACCUUAACAUGACUUCAUUUGCCAUCCUUUGAAAAAAUAAAAAAUUCCUUUUUCCCUUCGGGGAAAAGGAAGGGCGGUGCUUGCUUGUUCUCGCCUCGUGUUGUGGGAUGUUGUCUUACCUCCCGCCCACCCCUGAUCCCUUAUUUUUAUUUUCAAAAAUUCACUUGGAAAUUCCAGCGAGACUGCCGGUAACAAACCGAAGAAAGGCGGGAUAACACCUCAAAUCUUUCCGCCCUUUAAAAAAUGGGAAAAA
rnacentral:rRNA from 1 species